ensembl:lincRNA
UGCUGACACCCAAGUCUCAGUAUAUGAAGCCCAGCAUGAUGGACAUGAGAAGAGACUUGAAGUGCAGACAGCAGUAAGCUUGUGGGCCUUACAGAAAGCACAGGCUUGAUUGGAAAUGAGUGUGCUCUUAGGCCUGCCUCGAGAUUAGCCUAAAAAAGUACCAGUGCGCACAUCUGAAUGGAUGGGCAGUAGACAGAUGAAUAGUUGAGAGCCAAUUUAGCUGAAGUAUAGGGGUUGGUAGCAUUGAGGCUGCAAAGAUAAUAUGGAGCUGAUUGUAAAGGGUCUUGAAUACCCGUUUUUAGAGCUUGGAUUUACCCUGUCCUGGAGUGUAAGGAAGUAUGACAAGGGGCAGCCAGGAAGUGAAAUUAUUGGUGGGAUGCUUUAAAAGAUGAGCAUGGCCCGGUGCUAGAAAGAACUGAGGUACAGAGGCCAGAGGGUUGCCGAGCAAGCCUGCCUAGGUCACAAAGAGCACUGUGCACGCGGGGCUCACCAGGUGUCGUCCUAAGAGCUCAGCGACAUUCACUUAUGGAGUUCUCACAUGCAGCAAGCAGAUGGCAGCUGAGAGUUUCAUGUGGGUGAGAUGGCUCCAGAGCCCAGGCCCUUGACUUUGGCACCUUCCUGGUGGUCAGCCAGUGGUCCGGGGAGCAGGAGAGGGAGCAUGUGUGCAUGAUGGGAGGGAAGGGAGGGAUGGGUUCCAAUGGAAGUGGUAGCUUCGUGACUUCUGAGAUGAUGGACCUGUAACAUGACACAGCUGUCCGCAGAAACUCGAAUCCACCACGACUCCUGCGUUCUGACCCGUGGAGAUUCACUGUACAACUGGACCUCUAGAGGCUUAGCACCGUAUCUGAUGCGCGGUCGCUCUCCGUCCACACGGAAUGCAUGAGUUGGAGAAAGGAGCGAACGCGUGGUGGAAGAGAUGCUGGAAGAGUGGCUGACUGGACCAGGAAGCACAACAGAGACAGCCCUUCUCACACGCAGAGGGAGACCCCAGAGAGCAGUAAUUCUGUGCACGCCAAGGCAAGCAGCCGCCGCGGGCCUCAGUGGCACUGGGGAGUCCAUCCUUCCGGGCCUAUCCCAGGACGAUGCCGGGCCAGCGUGUGUUCCUGCCCUGUGCAGGGACAGAGGCAGCUUUGUCACCGGCCUCUGUCAUCCACCAGCCCUAGAACCUCAGCUGCCCACCCUUUGCCCGAAGAACUGAAGUGCAGGGUCACCGCUAAGCGGUUCCUUUCACUGUCUGCCAAUCUAUCAAGAUUCAGCUACCGCUGUGACCCCAUCAACUCCACGGAGGGGAAGAAAGGGACCCCUCACCACAGCAAUUAUUUACCGCAGCCUGACCUUUCCCAGUUCCACAGAAGUAGCAGUUGGGAAAACCUUGGUGGGCAGGAGUUUUUCACACCCUCCCUCCUUUUAACAAGCACACAGGUGGGGGGAGCUGCAAGCUCUCUCGUGCAAAAUUUUGCUUUACAGAAAGAUCUUUGGGCGGUCCAUAAGCUAGGAUAGGUGAGUACUUGGGAGCUGAUUUUAUGUGGAAGGGAGGAACAAUCCCGUUGCCUUCUAAAGACAGUUCUGAGGAGAUCUGAGCGCCUUACCUACAGCCCAGCUUGCCUCUUGGAUUUAAACAAGAACUGUUCUGCACCAGGACCUGGAGAGAUCCAACACCGUCAACUCCAAAGAUGUGUGUGUGUGUGUGUGUGUGUGUGUGUGUGUGUGUGUGUGUCCCCAACUUGGAAGAAAAUCCAGACUAUAAUAAGGGCCAUGCAGGGUGUAACUCCCUGUGUAAAUUUAAAGUGACCUAAGGGACAUAAUUAUAUAAAUCUCAUCAUGAGACAAUAUACUUUUUAUUUGUUUGAAUUUUAUUUGUAUUGGUAAAACUGACCUGAAACUGACACAAGUUUAUUAGAAAAAGGACUCUGUAAAAGCGAGUGGGCUGGUCUUCUUAUUUAAGAUGGAUGUGCCAACUUCUAGUAUGAUUAGAGAAAUGGAUAACUCACUAACAUCUGUGCAAACUACAAUAAAAAGGGAUUUAGUGUUACCCCAAGGAAGGCAAGAGAGGCUGUCUGUCCAUUAAACGCUUUAUUACAGUGCCGGCAGCUUUGUUCUAAUUCAGUUAUUCCUGCACGGCGUUCAGCACUCUGACUGCCUGUCAACCCAGCAGACAGUGCUCGGGGCUGGGAGGUUUUGUGCAAGGUAGGUGACAAUCAAAUGAGCCACUGAGAAGAGAGGGGUGCCUGACCCUCGUGAAGGAUUAACUACAGAAAGUGAGUGUGAUCAUGUCACAC